rnacentral:tRNA from 1 species
UCUAAUAUGGCAGAAUAGUGCCAUGGAUUUAAACCCCAUAUAUAAUUUUUUUUUUAGAA